rnacentral:misc_RNA from 1 species
CUGUUCGACGCUUCCAAUCUCUUCCCUCGUCGCGGAGACAUCGCUUAAUAAAUAUAAAGCAGCACGUUGCCCGGAGGUGGUCCACUAUCCUGUCGCAUCUCACAACUGGUCCCUCGCCAGUCUUCCUCUUAAUUAUUCCCCGUGGACAGAUAGUCAUCAAUUUGAGGUUAGGAUCAAGACUACAUAAUGAACGCAAGGUUUGGCAGAGACGUGGAACUGUAGCGGCGCACACCACAAGCACCGCUGGAAGAAACAAAAGAAGGAAGGUGGUGGCCGUGGGCCCUUUGAUGCGUUUGGCCUUCGGAACUCUGCGUGGAUCGGACGUGGACAGAAAGAGGUCGGCAUAGAUCUGAUGCGAUGAGCGCCGCUGAACUAUAAUAUUAAUGAUGACUGGCUUGCCCCCUUAGAGGAGCCUAUCUAUUUCGUUCUGUCCCGGACUGUCUUGUUCUACUGGGAUGCAAUUUCUCGAUAAUUCUUCGAGUCCUCCUGUGGCCAGCUCGCCGAUUCGCCGGCUCGUGCUCGUUAAUAUUAAUAAGCUGCUUAAUAUUAAUAUUGAUAAGUCUGUUAAUAGCGAUGGGUAUCGGUGACGUGGAUACCGUAAGGUUAAUAGUAGUCUGCCAUUUUUUCACGCAUCUGAUCGAGCUAGCUUAUUCAGCAUGAUUUCGUGUUACUUUACUCGACUACUGGGACUGGUUUCUGGAAUCUAUUUAGUCAGAAUGAAGCGGAGUGUAUCGAAUUGCGAAUACAGGGUAAAUAGCGAAGCUUGAGAUUUGUAAAACUCUUCAAUGGAAUUUAGAGGAUAUCUCAUAGGAGAAAC